AAUACGUGGCAUACGGCUCAGUAACACGUAGUCAACAUGCCCAGGGGACGUGGAUAACCUCGGGAAACUGAGGAUAAACCACGAUAGGUCAUAAUAUCUGGAAUGAUUUAUGGCUAAAAUCUACAUGGCCCCUGGAUUGGACUGCGGCCGAUCAGGCUGUUGGUGAGGUAAUGGCCCACCAAACCUAAAACCGGUACGGGCUCUGAGAGGAGAAGCCCGGAGAUGGGCACUGAGACAAGGGCCCAGGCCCUAUGGGGCGCAGCAGGCGCGAAAACUCUGCAAUAAGCGAAAGCUUGACAGGGUUAUUCUGAGUGAUUUCCGCUAAGGAAAUCUUUUGGCACCUCUAAAAAUGGUGCAGAAUAAGGGGUGGGCAAGCCUGGUGUCAGCCGCCGCGGUAAUACCAGCACCCCGAGUGGUCGGGACGAUUAUUGGGCCUAAAGCAUCCGUAGCCGGUUCUACAAGUCUUCCGUUAAAUCCAUCUGCUUAACAGAUGGGCUGCGGAGGAUACUAUGGAGCUAGGAGGCGGGAGAGGCAAGCGGUACUUAGUGGGUAGGGGUAAAAUCCGUUGAUCCACUGAAGACCACCAGUGGCGAAGGCGGCUUGCCAGAACGCGCUCGACGGUGAGGGAUGAAAGCUGGGGGAGCAAACCGGAUUAGAUACCCGGGUAGUCCCAGCUGUAAACGAUGCAGACUCGGUG
rnacentral:rRNA from 1 species